rnacentral:piRNA from 1 species
UGUCUGUCCCAACGUGGACCUCCCAGG